ensembl:lncRNA
GGGUGGGGGGGUGGGGAUAAGCCACUGGUUGAACCAUGACUUUUAUGUUAUGCUCAGCUAGUACCCUAGGGCUGUAUUAUUGCUUUGAAUUGCCAUGGCUUAUAGACUGACUAGUGCGUGAGGCUUUUGUUUGACGGCAACCUCGGUCCUUUUGAGUCGUAUUUAUUUAUUUAUUAAUUUAUUAAUUCUUGUUCCUUCACAAUGUUAUAAAAUUGUGUCAGAGAGCCUGAGUGUGCUGUUUUCUGUUCUCGUUCUCCCGCCCUCUAUGAGACUCCGUUCAGCCCGACGGGGGCGCCGCGGCUCCACUUUUUUUUCUUUUCUUUUUCUUCUUUUUUUUUUUUUUUUUGAAAGAGCGCUGUGUGAAAAGAGAAGCCGCUUUUUUUGUGGCGAAACUAAAAGCUCCCCCCAAAACCCGAAACUGACCAAUGAAUAAAAAAAACAACUUCUCCGUGAGGUAAAUACCGGCAUGAGGUUUUAACCGAGCCCAGCUGGGACGCGUGUUGUUGGGGGGUAGUUCUCGCCUGGUACUUUGGGAUGUUCGGAUCUUCACCGUGUCGCCAAGUUGCUUCGUGAGGGACGGUUUUCUUUCCUUUUCUUUAAAAAAAAUAAUAAAAAUUAUCGGCAUUCACAAAGCAAGGAUGCCAGUCGAGUUGGAGUUGUAAAGCCAAACAAAGGCCAGUAGAGGACCGUGUGGAAAAUUCGCGUUAGCGGUACAGCGGUAUGGAGUUCCCGCAACACCAGAAGCCGCCGGGGGACGGCAAGAUCAUUUACCCGCCCGGAGUGAAGGAGAUCACGGACAAAAUCAGCAACGAUGAAGUGGUGAAACGGUUAAAGGUAAGAACGUUGUCAUGCUCCUCGUCUUGUCAAAUCUGUAUUGGAGUGAGUUUCGCGUGCACAAGAACUCACAAACUGGACCUGUUUAUCAUCAAGGGAUCUGCAGGUGAGGCAAGGAUCCAGUCCAGGCAUCUGGAUCCUGAAGUGUAAACAAACAUCUGGCCAUUCAGAAAGACUGCUCCUGAUGUGUUGUCUUUGCUUCUUUACAUUUACGGCAUUUAGCAGACACCGUUAUCCAGAGUGACUUAUCUUAUAUCUUUAUACAUCUGAGCAAAUGACGGUUAAGGGCCUUGCUCAAGGGCCCAACAAUGACAGCUUGGUGGUGCUGGGGUUUGAACCCCCGAUCAGUAACCCAAUAUUAUUGUUUUUAUGAACUUAAUAAGACAGUGGGGGGGGUACUGAGCGUCACGUUGUCGUUGAGAAACCCGGAAAGCUGAACGUCCACCGUUUUUGAUUUUUCCCUCUUGAAGGAAAAUUGACCAACUGUCACAAAGCACUGAGCCUGGAGACUCCUUCCAUAAGCGUUUCAUAAAGAUUUUAUAAAAUCUCACAGCAAACAGAAAACUUCGCCAUCCAAAUGUCAAGAUUGUAAAGUUUUUGAAAUUCGUUUAUCAUCAGUCGUAUCUGUAGCGUCCACUGUGCGAGGCCUCGUGUAAAUCGCUCCUAUAGAAAGGAGCGUUCGUGUAUUAGGAGUAUUAAGACAAGGGCUUUAAUGCAAAAUGUUUGAAUGACAGAAAAACGAUUAACACUUUCUGACUGAGCAGAGCGCAUCGCCGAUGUAGCGUGAUAAAGCAAUAUCUCACGAGCAAAAGAGUCAAACUAAGUCAAUAUCUUGGGGAAUAACGCCAUGAAAACUGGGGCACUGAACUGCACACCGCGUCUGGUGCGAGGAGGAGAUUCCUGACGCAGACAUUCGCUCUGCUUCUGUCCUCGCGUCUGCUCGAGGCCUGUCAAAUCAUCAUCUGAACUUUGAAUAUUCGUCAAGUCAAACGGCGCUCUAAAACACAGACACUGACUGACUAAAGCGUAAAGAAUUCACAAUACUGGAUUACAAUAGCGUCUUAUUGUAAUGUUAUUAUUUCAGAUCACAUGUUUUUGUUCAUGCAUGUUUAAGUUAAUAUUUAAAACGGGUGAGUAUUUGGUUUAAUUUUUGCCUUUUCUCGUCAACUAAAAUGCCGUCGAUUCACGUUCACCACCGUUGUAGUGAGUAAAAUGGAUAAAUAUGACCUGACGAAAACGUCCUUUAAAUUUAGUCGCUAUUUCGUCAGAAAGACAAAAGAUAUGCUGUGUUAUCAGUGGCAUAAAAUUGUUUCAAAGUGACGAGGAUAUUGUUUGAGUAUUAUUUCUGGGACAGUAUAUCGUCCAAUAAAAUGUUCUCGUGACAGGCCUAAGUAACAGCUCAGUCACAGGGACUUCAGUGAUGGACUGUCCACAUAAUCUAAAACUAGUAAUAAACAGAUUUUUUUUUUUUUUAAACGUGGUGUUUAAUAAAGUAAAAUGUAAAAUCGUGACUUUUACUAGAGGUCGACCGAUAUUGGAUACCCAUAACGAAGUUGUUCAGUACCUACCUACUGAUAACCGAUGCUGAAUGAAAACAUAACACUCAAACUAAAACAUUGAACUUUAUUACAAAAGUAAACAGUGCUGACUGGACCAUGAAAAUGUACACUACUUUUAAAAUGAAAUGUAUAUUAAUAUAUGCCUGAUUAUUAAAUUAAUUAAUAAGAUGUACAUCCAAGUGUAACCGAAAAGUACUACUCCAAAUAUAAUCGUUGGCAGCUCACCGUGGUAUAAGUUUUUAUUUUGCUUCUUUGCUCCAUCAAUGAUCAUGGUUCCUAAAGAAACCACAGCCGGUUGCCAUGAUAACGCACAGUCUGACUGCCAGCCCAUAAUAAGUGUGGUCACGGUUUCAAUGUAAAGAACUAUUGCCAGAACAAGCAGAGUGAUGCAAACAGUGAAAUGUACCGUGUGGUUAUGCUUAAUAUCUGCACUCUUGGAACGCCUCUUGUCCAAUCAAAUUAGUGGAAGCUGUUUUUGUUUUUUUGGAAAGAGUAUAAUUAUUUAUGGUCCUUCGCAUAUGAGAGAAAGCGGUUUCCUUUUAAGUUUCAUGCAUUGUGGAUUCUUUGCUAACGUGUGUGUGUGUCGCAUAUACUGUGCAUAGUGCAAAAAGUUACAGUGAAAAAUAAACACCAGAACGACAUGACUUUUUUUUCUCUUUCCAGUUUUUCCGGUAAACUUUCAUUCCCGGACACGUUGGCCGUCACUAAAAUUUCUUGGCGGAAGCUCUGCUAUAUAUUUAUAUAGUCACUGUAGAAAUUCCGGCUUGCUGCGAGCAUGCUGAUUUUCUAGCUCACGAAUGGCUCGUGAGCCAAUACCGUCUUUGUAUACACCUCAGUUAGUAGUGUUGCCUGUGCAACCAGCCAGUGGUAAAUCUGGAAAGGAGAACACGGUGUAACUGUGCUAAACCCGUAACUGUGCUAAACCCGUACCUGUGCUAGUGCUUUCUACCUUGGGGUUUGCGAACGUUGAGUCACGUGCCAUAGUUAGACGGACACGUGCCUUAUUAAUAAUUCGGUUUGCGUUUUGGCUGUCAAAAUACCAGCAACGCUCCUUCACUGUCACAUCAUCAAAACAGAAGAACAUUUACAACCCCUGGUAAAGAUGAUGGAAUCACCACGCUUGAAGGAUGUUCACCCAGUUUUUUUUUGUUUGUUUUUUAAUAAACAAAUCAGAUGUGACCCAAAACCAUUUCCGAUCAAAUAGAGGAAAAAAUUAUGGAAUGAUCAAUAAAGAACAAAUCACAAUGCUCCUCCUUGGGCAUUGAAUUCUUUGAUGCAUGGAUUUCACUAAUGAAAAACAAUGUUCCCCAUCAAGCUGGUUCCAGCUUUCUCCAAUAGCGGUCGACAGAUCUGCUUUGCAGGAUAGAGCCUUGUCAUAGACCCGUUUAUAAAUUUUAUUUAUUUAUUUUUUUUAAAAUUCCACCAUAAACUUUCGAUCGGAUUUAGAUCUGGACUGUUUGCUGGCCAUUUCAUUGAGUUGAUCUGCCUUUCCUGAAGAAAAGCUUUAACAACCUUGCUCUGUGGCCAGAUUCAUUAUCACACAGAUUAAUGACUUCACCACCAAACCUAUUGUCUGUCAGUGGAAUGAGCAAAGUGUCCAAAACUUCAAUGUACUCCUGGGCAUUGACUGUUUAGGCUGUGGCUCAGGUGGUAGAGCGGGUUGUCGGUUGUCCACUAAUAUUAGGGUUGGCAGUUUGAUUCCCGGCCAACGUGACUCUACGUGCCGAAGUGCCCUUGGUGGACGCUGAACCCCAAGUUGCUCCCUAUGGCAAGUUAGCACCUUGGUAGCAUAUAUCUCCUUUCAGUGAGUUUUCUGAAUAAGGUGUUUACAGGCAUAUUCCAGGGCUGGAAAUUUUUGUUCAGUGUUCUGAUGGUGGACUCAUGAACAUUAACAUUAGCCAAUGUGAGAGAGGCCUUCAGUUGCUUAGAAGUUACCCAGGGUUCCUCUGUGACCUCGUGGACUAUUACACGUCUUGCUCUUGGAGUGAUCUUUGUUGGUCUUCACUCCUGGUGAGGGUAACAACGGUCUUGAAUUUCCUCCAUUUGUACACACUGGCUGAGGGUUGUUGGAGUCUAAACUCUGUAGAGAUGGUUUUUAUAACCUUUUCCAGUCUGAUGACCAUCAACAACUCUUUCUGAUGUCCUCGGAAAUCUCCUUUGUUCAUGCCAUGAUACACUUCCACAAACAUGUGUUGUGAAGAUCAGACUUUGAUAGAUCCGUGUUCUUUAAAUAAAACAGGGCGCUCACUCACACCUGAUCGUCAUCCCAUUGAUUGAAAUCACCUGACUCUAAUUUCACCUUCAAAUUAAACUGCUAAUCCUAGAGGUUCACGCACUUUGCCACUCACAGAUAUUUAAUAUUGGAUCAUUUUCCUCAAUAAAUAAAUAAGCAAGUGUAAUAUUUUUAUCUGCUUUUCAUCCCCUCAGUCAACCGAACAAGUGUGUAAAUGCUGCAAAGAAGCCAUUAUGAUGACGAGUAACUCUGCACAUCAUCUGCUUCUCUCAACUCGCCGAUCUCACAAACCGCCAUCUUUUAUUGAUCCCGCAAAAUGACUUAAACCUGAAACUGCUACCGUAGAGCCCUGCAGACUUAAUUUGCAUUUUCACACUUGUCAGUAUUUAUUUUAGAAAACAAAUUACAAGGUGAUUCCCAUCAUUGUUUUUCCUCUACUUGAGUUGGGGGAGGUGUGCUAUUGAUUAAAACAAUUUAAUUUAGUUAGUUUGAGGUAUGUUUCACAAAGCUAGAUUGUUCAGCUGUUAAGCAAAAUAGUUUUGUGUCAUGUGAUUUUCUUUAUUUGCUACCUGGGUGAACAUCCUCGAAGUGUGGUGGUUUCCAUAAUUCUUUGCCAGUUAUCUAUGCACACUCUGUACAGAUAACGGCAAAGAAAGGUUUAAAAUGUUAAAAGAAGCUAAUCAGAAGACUUUAAUAAGGAAUCGUGCAGGACAGGACCAGUGUACUUGUGGACGGAGGUCAGUCGCGUGUAGAAAUAGCGCGGCGACUCUGGUCACUCAAAUGCUACGGGUGACGCUUACCUCACUGAAGUGAUCAUCAGUACUUCCUGUCGUAAACUUAUCGUUCCUUCAUUUGUUAGGCAGUUUUUCUAUAAGUAGAUCAGAUUUCUAAAUCUACAAGUAGGUGUCUUUAAAUGUAAUUGGAAUGAAAUCUUCACCUUCUGGAAGUGCAAAAGAGAAACUUGAUUCAGUUCCGGAAAUCUUAUAAGUUUCAGAAAUAUACAAAGUAGAAAACUCUGUACGUUUACAUGGACAGCAAUAAUCCGAUAUUAAGACGAUACUCUGAUUAAGAAACUAGCAUGUAAACAGAGAUUACUGACGACCUUAAUCCGAUUAAAGUCAUACUCGAAGUAAACACAAAUGGAGUUAAGACGUGUGGAGUAUUCCUGUUUUAGUCUCGUUACAGACACGUACACACCUUUAAUUAACGUCGUGUGGGAGUUUUCACCGCAUUGUGCGACAGGACACGUACACACACGGCAGCGCUCGACCGUUUGACGGCGAACAAGAGAGAACGGCUGCGUCCCAAACCGCGUACUUACCUGCUGUAUAGUAGGAGAAAUACAUGUACCUCGGCUACUAUAUAGACAGUAAGUACGCGGUUUGGGACGCGGCCCACGGCUUCAAGCAAUCGUCUGUUUACACGUACAGCACGACAAAUAAUUAACCG